AUUGAACGCUGGCGGUAUGCUUAACACAUGCAAGUCGAACGGUAACAGGUCUUCGGAUGCUGACGAGUGGCGGACGGGUGAGUAACGCGUAGGAAUCUGCCUAUUAGUGGGGGACAACAUGUGGAAACGCAUGCUAAUACCGCAUACGCCCUACGGGGGAAAGGAGGGGACCUUCGGGCCUUUCGCUAAUAGAUGAGCCUGCGUUAGAUUAGCUAGUUGGUGGGGUAAAGGCCUACCAAGGCGACGAUCUAUAGCUGUUCUGAGAGGAAGAUCAGCCACACUGGGACUGAGACACGGCCCAGACUCCUACGGGAGGCAGCAGUGGGGAAUAUUGGACAAUGGGCGCAAGCCUGAUCCAGCAAUACCGCGUGUGUGAAGAAGGCCCAGGGUUGUAAAGCACUUUCAAUGGGGAGGAAAAGAGUAAGCUAAUACCUUGCUUAUUGACAUUACCCAUACAAGAAGACACCGGACUAACGUACCGUGACCAGCAGCCGCGGUAAU
rnacentral:rRNA from 1 species